rnacentral:rRNA from 1 species
CCUACGGGCGGCAGCAGUGGGGAAUAUUGGACAAUGGGGGCAACCCUGAUCCAGCCAUGCCGCGUGUGUGAAGAAGGCCCUCGGGUUGUAAAGCACUUUCAGUGAGGAAGAACGCCUGGUGGUUAAUACCCAUCAGGAAAGACAUCACUCACAGAAGAAGCACCGGCUAACUCCGUGCCAGCAGCCGCGGUAAUACGGAGGGUGCGAGCGUUAAUCGGAAUUACUGGGCGUAAAGCGCGCGUAGGUGGCUUGAUAAGCCGGUUGUGAAAGCCCCGGGCUCAACCUGGGAACGGCAUCCGGAACUGUCAAGCUAGAGUGCAGGAGAGGAAGGUAGAAUUCCCGGUGUAGCGGUGAAAUGCGUAGAGAUCGGGAGGAAUACCAGUGGCGAAGGCGGCCUUCUGGACUGACACUGACACUGAGGUGCGAAAGCGUGGGUAGCAAACAGGAUUAGAUACCUGGGUAGUC